rnacentral:rRNA from 1 species
CUACGGGGCGCAGCAGUGAGGAAUAUUGCACAAUGGGGGGAACCCUGAUGCAGCAACGCCGCGUGGAGGAUGACGCAUUUCGGUGUGUAAACUCCUUUUAUAUGUCAAGAAAAUGACGGUAGCAUAUGAAUAAGCACCGGCUAACUCCGUGCCAGCAGCCGCGGUAAUACGGAGGGUGAAGCGUUACUCGGAAUCACUGGGCGUAAAGGACGCGUAGGCGGGUUGGAAAGUCAGGUGUGAAAUCCUACAGCUUAACUGUAGAACUGCACUUGAAACUUCUAAUCUAGAGUAUGGGAGGGGGAGAUGGAAUUAGUGGUGUAGGAGUAAAAUCCGUAGAUAUCACUAGGAAUACCUAAAGCGAAGGCGAUCUCCUGGAACAUUACUGACGCUAAGGCGUGAAAGCGUGGGGAGCAAACAGGAUUAGAUACCCCCGUAGUC